rnacentral:rRNA from 1 species
ACGCACGCUGGCGGCGUGCUUCACCCCUGCCAGUCGUACGGUAAGGCCCUUUCGGGGGUACACGAGUGGCGAACGGGUGAGUAACACGUGAGUAACCUGCCCACAACUUUGGGAUAACGCUAGGAAACUGGUGCUAAUACUGGAUAUGUGCUCCUGCUGCAUGGUGGGGGUUGGAAAGCUCCGGCGGUUGUGGAUGGACUCGCGGACUAUCAGCUUGUUGGUGGGGUAGUGGCCUACCAAGGCGGCGACGGGUAGCCGGCCUGAGAGGGUGACCGGCCACAUUGGGACUGAGAUACGGCCCAGACUCCUACGGGAGGCAGCAGUGGGGAAUAUUGCACAAUGGGCGCAAGCCUGAUGCAGCAACGCCGCGUGCGGGAUGACGGCCUUCGGGUUGUAAACCGCUUUCAGCAGGGACGAAGCUUUUUGUGACGGUACCUGCAGAAGAAGCACCGGCUAACUACGUG